rnacentral:lncRNA from 1 species
AGGGACCCUAGCCGUGGAGUCUGUAGGCAUGACACAGGCUCGAAGGCCGGUGAUCAGGAGAAAUGCUAAACUGAGAAAAGAAUCGUCCAGCUGUCGUGCAUUACGUGUGUACUAAAUACCGGAUCUGAGCCCAGCCCUGAGAGGGUUAGUUACAGGGUGGUUAAAAGAACAGGGAGUCAGGUGAUCUGGCUUCAAGUCUCCAGGCUCGCUUUCCUCCCUGUGUUACCAUCAUUAAAUCUUCCCAAUUUUUAGUCCCCUGGCUUGUAAAAUGCAGGUUCCAAUCGUGCUUUCCUCAAGUGGCUGGGUAGGGGUUCAAUGAGAUAACGGGCGUGAAGUCCUUAGCCCAGUGCCAGUACCCAGAAAAUGCUCUGCAGUGUUAGCUGUCCUUACUGUUCACCUGCCUCUUCUCGUUUAACCCUCACCACAAUCCCAGGAGUUGGGUGCUACUGUCCUCUAUUUAUAAGUCAAACUGAGGCUCCGAGGGUAAAUCACUUGUCUAAGGUCCCAGAAAGGGAGCAGUGGGGCUGGCUCGGUCACACUAGAAAUCCCAACAUCUUUGUUUUCUUCACUUUCGGAGAAGCUGGUCAAAGGCACCAGGUUAAGUGCAUCUCAUGCCAUGACGGUCUUCUUCUUGUCCCUAUUACUGCACCUUCUCAUCUGUUGAAGAUUUGAGGUCUGGGGUCGUCUCUGACCCUGAAUGCAGCUGGUGAGAGCAUCGGUAUGGCUCCUCUGGGGACCUGCAGCUUCACAGAGUUGACACGGUUUAUGAAACGUCCAUUCUGAUUUGCAAAUAGGUCUGACACGGACACACGUCCAGCUGGCCGGUGAUUUUGAUAACAACCCCUCCUCCUUGGUGCCAAUUACCAGAAAUUAAAUGUCCCUGGCACACUUUGUGAUUCGGAAAUUCAUGUGCUGAUUAGUUAAACCCCUGCUGGACAUGCCAUCAUGACCAAGGGGCUCCCUGCCAACGUCCUAGCUCUCGCUCCAUCUCCAUCUAAAGUCACAGGAUGUUUUCUUCCCGGGCAGCAAGCAGUGUCACCUCACUGACUCAUUCAUUUUCAUUCAACAAAUACUGAUUGGGCAUCCACAGUUGGGAUACAGCAGAGAACAAAGCAAGUGUGUUCCUGCCUUCGCGAAGGGGAAUAAAUAGGAAAUGAUUAAACACACAGGACUGUUUCUACAUGACGUGUUAGGAAGGAAACAAAGAAGUGGGACAAAGGAACGGCUAGGGUACAAACGCGGCGUUGGGUAGGGUGGCCAGGAAGGUGAGAUUUCAACUGAGAUUUGAAGACUGAGACAGAAUCAGACAUGCAUUGUGCUGAGAUGGUUAGGAAUGAGCUCACCACGUCAAGGAAAUUCAUUCACUUUUCAAACAUUUUUGAUCAUACAAUCAAUAUGUGUUGAAAGAACAAGUGGGGAAUAGAUGAAUCCUCUUUUUUUUUUUUCUGCCAAGAAGGACCUUCACAGAAGAUGUAAUCAGCUUAGAGGCAAGUUCCUUCCCUUGGCGCCAGCCCCGUUUCCCACCUCUCAGGCCAGGGGCUGGGCUCAGGCACUAGCGUUCUGGGACUGGAGGACCUUCAGACCGCACCUUCCACAGAGACCAACCCUCACAGCUCUUUAGCCAUGACUCUGCAGCAAGCAGAAAGCAAUCACAUUUUCCUAAGCAGUCAAAAUGGUUGUUUGGAAUUGUGUAGACAAGGCGCGAAGUGUCAGCUGCUUUGUUGUCAUUAGGAUACAUGUAUUGAAUUUCCAUGCCCGCUUACUCAAUUCCAGAGUCCUUAUUAGUUGUGUGUCUCCCUCCCUCCCUCCCUCCCCUCCUCCCGCAGCUCUGUCACCCUCUUCUGCUCAUCUUUCUCUGGCUCAGCAGUGAAGAGCCUAGGCUACAGAAUCAGAACACCGGGUUGUAUCUCAAGUGGGACCCUCUGUGUGACUUUGGCCAUGUCCAUUCACCUCGCUGAGUCUCAAUUUUCUCAUCUAUAUAAUAGGAAUAAUAGUAAUAGAGGCCGUCUUUUGACAAUCAUAUAAAGUACUUACUGAGUUAUUAUUAUCCUCAUUUUGUGGAUUAGAAUGUACAAUUUAAAGAAGUAGAUUGAGGUUUUGAAGGCAAGAGAAAGGAGUAAUAGGUGUAACCUUGAGCCAGUUUAAUGAUCUGUGUCUACCUCUGGGGUUUCCAUUCGUUGAGAUAAUCAAGAAACAGGAUCAUAAUAAAUAGUCUCCUAAUUUGUAAUACUUUUGAGCCAACAGCGAUAGAGAGAACCUGUGCCGUGUGCCAGAUAUUCUUCUAUGUGCUUUACCUAUAUUGACUAACUUUUCAAAUCUCACAACCAUACAAAGUAAAUACUAUUCCUAUGCCCAUUUUACAGAUAAGGAAACUAAGACCUAGAGAGAUUACAUCGUGUCCACAGGGUCACAUAGCUGGGACUUGGUGGAGUUUGGGAAUAAACCCGGGCAAACUGACUCCCGGGUCUGCUGCUUGCCACCUCAUUUAAGAUGAGACACAAAAGCUUUCCUGCAAAUAUCAGAGUUUUCUACUUCAAAUAGACCUGCCUUCUGAGUGCUCAGUAAACAAAGAAUUAUUACCCGCCUAAUCCUGAAACCCCUGGCCUGUAGACACAGGACUGAUGCGGGCAGUACCCAGUACAGCAAAACACCAGCCAUAGGUAAAUUCACAUCUCCUGGCACUGAUGGGAUUUCCGGGUGUCUAUUAAAAUGUCAGUAGAUCUUAGAGGCCACGUCCUUUCUACAUCAUUUAGCACAAGCCAGAAGGUCAGAUUCAGGUGGCAGCCAGCCUUCCCUUGGCAAUUUCUUCCUCAUGACUACUCUGCCCCUACACCCACUCUCAGAAAUGCUACAGCACAAUAAACGUAGUUAAAGAGAUAACAAACCACCACUACCCUCUUGAGAUCCAAAAGCAGUCGUCUCAAAUCCCCUUGCCUCCAGUCUUAGAGGGAUAUGCCCCCAGCUGCUGACGCCAGGCCUGCUGUGUAGAUCAAAGCAGCCUUGUCUGGGCCCACUGUCAUAGCAACAGUGGAUCCAUCUCCAAAGGCUCAUGCCCAGCAUCAGCCCUGGCACGAGAAAGAGAAGCAGACUAUGCCUAACACAGGUGCCUUCCUUUUAAAGGGCUACAAGUUGUCAACAGCAGGCUGAAACUCCUGCCUGUGUUUGGGGUGUACAAUGGAAGCAGCAUGACUCCAAAUCCUGCCUGACUUAUUGUCUCGACAGGACGUAGAAUGCAUCCUAGUAUUCGCAGACUUCGGGUUCAUGCCUGCUUCUCCCGCUGAGCAGGAAGCUGCCACCUGGAGCCUCCGAAGGCUCUGCUUGCUGUUGCACUAAGUGGAGCACGUCAGCAAAGGAGUAAGCCCUGCUGAGCCCCGGCAGGCCCUGAGGUGUGGAGGAGCUCCCUUCCAAGCCCACAUGUGGCUGUCUGCUUGAAAGGUCAGGCUCCUUCGUUAUAUUCAGGCUCUGUAGCACGCACCAAACGUCUGCCUUUGGAGAGUGGGGGUUCGGUCAGACUCCCCACGGCAGUGCUUCCCGGAAACUUUGCCCUCAAGAUCCAACAGCCUCCAUAAAUGAGGCUGUGAAAGUCGUUAAAGUUUCCCCAAAGAGAAAACUGACCUGGGAAAUCAGCAUGAGUCCUCAGAUAGAAAAGACAUCAGGCUUCAAAUGAAAGAAAUUGGACAGAAGAUGGAAAAUUUCCUCUCCUCCUUACUUCCUGUCUUACUGUUUUACUGGGAACUAGCUUGUGGACAAACUCAGAGCCUGGUCUUUUAGAAGGCAAGUCUUUCUAAAUGUUCCUGGACCAAUUUCCCAUCAUCCUUUUAGUGUUCUCCUGUCCCCUUUCAGCAUGGCCAGCUGGAAUUCAUUUGUACUCACAAGGGCCAAGAGCCAAGCCCUGGCAGCAAAGUCAGAGAGAGUAGCCAGCUCCUGUGGUGCCCAUCCCAACCGCCUGCCCUCACCUGGACAAGAGGCAGCUGGAAAUGUUGGCUGCACUUCUUUCUGAGCAUCCUCAGCCUCGGGAGGAGAAAAGACGCCAGGGGCUGGGCAGGGAGGGAGGACUUUGGUUACAUGUGUGGGGAUGGUAGGGAUGCAGGUCACGUUUGGAAAUUAAAAUAUUUGAGGCCUUGGAGAAAUUCUGGGGGCUUGUGAAUUUUAACUUUAUUUUUUAAAUAAUUUCAAACUUCCGGGAGUUCCUGCCAUGGCUCAGUGGUUAAUGAAUCCGACUAGGAACCAUGAGGUUGCAGGUUCGAUCCCUGGCCUUGCUCAGUGGGUUAAGGAUCCAGUGUUGCCGUGAGCUGUGGUGUAGGUCGCAGACGUGGCUCGGAUCCCACAUUGCUGUGACUCCGGUGUGGGCCGGUGGCUACAGCUCUGAUUAGACCCCUUGCCUGGGAACCUCCAUGUGCCGCAGGAGCGGCCCUAGAAAAGGCAAAGAGACCAAAAAAAAAAAAAAUAGUAAUAAUAAUAAUUUCAAACUUCCAGAAAUGUUGAUAAAACUAGGUUCCUUAGAUAUUAAUAUUUUACUAUGUUCAUUUUGAUCCCUUUAUUUAUAUAUGUGUAUAUAAUGUUAAAAUUUAGUAUAAAAAAUAUAUAUAAUUUUUCUGAACCAUUUGAGACUAAGCUAAAAAUAAAAGGCAUGCUAUUAACUAGCCUAAAAAUGCUAUCCAAUGGCAUGCUAUUUUUUUCGAUUGUCCUAUUCCUUUCCUUUAUAGAGGAAAAAAGAUGUAAUGUCUUAUCUAGAUCCCAUCCAGGACCGUGUUCUGCAGCUGUCAUACCUCUUUAGUUUCCUUUAAUGCGAAACAGUUCCUCGAGAUUCACUAUCUUCAUGAUCCUGGCACUUCAAAGGAUAUACAGGCCAUUUACUUUAUAGAAUGUCUAUUAGGGUUUCUCUUUAAUUUCUUCACCACCAGAUUCAGAUUUUUCAUUUGGGGCAGUAAUGGAUGAAAUCGUUACCAAUAACCAAAUAGGAAUCCCUAAGCCCAUGCUCUAUAAAUGAAGAAAAAGGGCAAAGGAAAAUUUCUUCCUUAUAGUAGAAUGCCAACUAAAAAAUGUGGAUGGAAUUAUGGACCACCAUUGGGGAGUUCCCACUGUGGUGCAGUGGGUUAAGAAUCCACCUGCAGCGGCUCAGGCCACAGCUGAAGCUCAGAUUGAAUCCUUGGCCCAGGAACUUCCAUAUGCUGUGGGUGUGGCCAUAAAAUUAAAACAAAAACAACAGUGGGUGAGGAGUUCCCUGGUGGCCUAGUAGUUAAGGAUCCCAUGUUGUCACUGCUGUGCCUUGGGUCAUUGCUAUAGUGCAGGUUUGAUCCCUGGCCAGGAACUUCUGAAUGUCAUUGGCAUAGCCAAAAGCAAAACUAGAGAGUGAAAGCUUGAAGAGCUCAGAGCGUCUCCUCUAAAGAUACUUAUUGAUCACAAAGGGGGAAAUGGCAGUUUACAGUAGAGAAACCAGGUAGGCAAAAGACCAAAGUUGGCAUCAUGAGUAAUGAGGAAACAGUGUGUCCCACCCAAUAUGAUGGACUGAGAACACCACACCUCUUCUGUGAAAUAAAAGACAAAGUCCUGCCCAAAGGACUUAAGAUUGUCAAGAGCUAUCAUACUAAUGAGGCUGCAUUCACACACAACAGAUUCUGGAAUGCUUUUCACCUUCACAGACACCCCCACCACCACCCGGAAAUCUUCCCAGGAGGCACGGGCAACAACCAAACACUGAAGAGAACAAAUCAGAUGCUUGGGAUGAACACGCACAGUGCAGAGCUGUGUACUGGGUGAAACUCCUUGGACAUUGGUGAUGGUACAGGAAUACCAAAAGGCUAGCCUCCAAGUCAGAAGGGGCAAUAGGAAAAGAAGGAAAUCGGUCUUCCCACAGCAUCAGUGCAUGGGGUACCAGGUUGGAGAAAAGCACACGAGUCAUGUGCUGUUACAGGUUACACCAGACCCUCAGCCAUCCUGUUAUUCUGUUCUGCUGUCAAAGCUGAACUUUAUCCUGCCAAUUUCUCACACCUUGGCACCUAACUGAUAAAUGCAGACUGGACAUCAAACACCUCCCAGCCUCCCAGCGCUGUGUCUGGUCCAUCUUUCCAGCUCAAAUUUAGAGCAGUGCAGGGGAGGGCAUAAUAUCCUCCUCUCAGGUGUUCAGUGGAAGAGGCUGGAGCUUCUUAAUAAUGCCCACAGCCCUCAUGCUCUCUCCCGAUGUCCUCAUGCUCUUUUCUGAUGCCUUCAUGCACCUUGUAUCCCUCUGCCUAUCCAUGUUCUUUUUCCUUCCAAUUCCACUCCGUCUUUCUGCCCUGAUGCUUUUUGAUCCAGAGGGGUUUUGGUAGAAUAUACUGAUCAAGGAAAUAAGGACUUAGUACAUAAAGAAUCUCAGAC